rnacentral:rRNA from 1 species
GACGAACGCUGGCGGCGUGCCUAACACAUGCAAGUCGAGCGAAUGAAGUUCCUUCGGGAAUGGAUUUAGCGGCGGACGGGUGAGUAACACGUGGGCAACCUGCCUCAUAGAGGGGAAUAGCCUUCCGAAAGGGAGAUUAAUACCGCAUAAGAUUGUAGUACCGCAUGGUACAGCAAUUAAAGGAGCAAUCCGCUAUGAGAUGGGCCCGCGGCGCAUUAGCUAGUUGGUGAGGUAACGGCUCACCAAGGCGACGAUGCGUAGCCGACCUGAGAGGGUGAUCGGCCACAUUGGGACUGAGACACGGCCCAGACUCCUACGGGAGGCAGCAGUGGGAAUAUUGCACAAUGGGGGGAAACCCUGAUGCAGCAACGCCGCGUGAGUGAAGAAGUAAUUCGUUAAUGUAAAGACUCUAUCAGCAGGAAGAUAGUGACGGUACCUGACUAAGAAG